rnacentral:rRNA from 1 species
UACGAAGGGGGCUAGCGUUGUUCGGAUUUACUGGGCGUAAAGCGCACGUAGGCGGAUUGUUAAGUCAGGGGUGAAAUCCUGGAGCUCAACUCCAGAACUGCCUUUGAUACUGGCAAUCUCGAGUCCGGAAGAGGUGAGUGGAACUCCUAGUGUAGAGGUGGAAUUCGUAGAUACUAGGAAGAACACCAGUGGCGAAGGCGGCUCACUGGUCCGGUACUGACGCUGAGGUGCGAAAGCGUGGGGAGCAAACAGG